CUGCUACAGAUUGCACACGUGUGUGUGCGUGUGCAUGUGCGCGUGUGUGUGUGUGUGUGUGUGUGUGUGUGUGUGUGUGUGUGUGUGUGUGUGUGUGUGUGUGUGUG
rnacentral:miRNA from 1 species